GAAUUGAAAGGUUUCAUAAACAGAUCUUCAAUGGAAGGCAACCGACGCAUCUGUAGUCAAGUUUUGUUCGUCAAUAAGGUUGCAUUUUCCAGUUUGGAGGAAAUUAGUAUUUUCUACUUGAGAAAGUUGAAGAUGAUAUGGGAGAACCCACUUCC